CCUACGGGGGGCAGCAGUGGGGAAUAUUGCACAAUGGGCGCAAGCCUGAUCCAGCCAUGCCGCGUGAGUGAAGAAGGCCUUAGGGUUGUAAAGCUCUUUCACCGGUGAAGAUAAUGACGGUAACCGGAGAAGAAGCCCCGGCUAACUUCGUGCCAGCAGCCGCGGUAAUACGAAGGGGGCUAGCGUUGUUCGGAAUUACUGGGCGUAAAGCGCGCGUAGGCGGAUAGAUAAGUCAGAGGUGAAAUCCUGGGGCUCAACCCCGGAAUUGCCUUUGAUACUGUUUAUCUUGAGUGCAGAAGAGGUAAGUGGAAUUCCGAGUGUAGAGGUGAAAUUCGUAGAUAUUCGGAGGAACACCAGUGGCGAAGGCGGCUUACUGGCCUGCACCUGACGCUGACGCGCGAAAGCGUGGGGAGCAAACAGGAUAGAUACCCCAGUAAUC
rnacentral:rRNA from 1 species